GUCUAUGGCCAUGCCACCCUGAACAUGCCCAGUUCUCAUGUGAUUCUGGAAGCUGAGCAGAGCUGGGCCUGUUCUGUACUUGGAUGGGAAUAUCUGCUGCUGUGGGCC
rnacentral:rRNA from 1 species